UACGGGGGGGGCAAGCGUUGUUCGGAAUUACUGGGCGUAAAGGGCUCGUAGGCGGCGCGGUAAGUCGGGUGUGAAAUCUUGGAGCUUAACUCCGAAACUGCAUUCGAUACUGCCGUGCUUGAGGACUGGAGAGGAGACUGGAAUUUACGGUGUAGCGGUGAAAUGCGUAGAUAUCGUAAGGAAGACCAGUGGCGAAGGCGGGUCUCUGGACAGUUCCUGACGCUGAAGCACGAAGGCCAGGGGAGCAAACGGG
rnacentral:rRNA from 1 species